CUCUGAAACACCCGCACAAUAAAGAUUCAAAAAAUAAAGUAGAUCCUAAACUGACCAGCGAUCUGGCGUCUCCGGUGAGAGGCUACGGUGGGUCUAUCCAUCUUCUAUCUUCCGAGACUUGUUGUUCUACACACUAAGGACCUUCAUCAAUCUAGUAUCAAUCUUAAGAUCCACAACUCUCAUCAGCAGCUAACGGGUGAGCAGCGAUAUUGGCUGAUCGUGGAGUAAAACGGUAGGUGCAUGCAUAGAAUGACAGUGCUCUCCGGCUCACCUCCCAGGUCAAGGCACUGAUCUCUGAAAAUCUAGUUCCACUGAGAGUAUAUUCUCUAUCACUGUCCGUGCAUCCCCUUCUAAAACCACAUUCCGAAGGCCGAUGUCUUCUGCAAACUGAAUGGCAUGAACCGCAGCCAAGGCUUCUGCACGAAAUGCAAAGGGGAGGCUUCCAAUGGACCAUCGACAGCAAAUGAGGGUCGUGGAGACUGGCAUUUGCCAAUUGAAAGUCUAUACACUGCGCUUGAACAAAGGUAAUGAUCUCUUCAAUCUUCACAAUAUUUCCUUCAUGAAGAAGUCGAUUGCCUGCGUACCAUAAUGCCCAUAGAGUUACUCUUAUCUCUGUAUGCUUUGUAUUUGUAUGAUUUUGGAACAACCAUUUCAUCUAUUUGAAUAACGACACAUCUAUCA